CAUGGCCGUCGUCAGCUCGUGUCGUGAGAUGUUGGGUUAAGUCCCGUAACGAGCGCAACCCCUAUCCCUGGUUGCUAGCAGGUAAUGCUGAGAACUCCAGGGAGACUGCCGGUGGCAAACCGGAGGAAGGUGGGGAUGACGUCAGGUCAUCAUGGCCCUUACGUGUUGGGCUACACACGUGCUACAAUGGCAUUUACAAUAGGAAGCAAGAUGGCGACGUCAAGCAAAUCCUAAAAAGAUAUCUCAGUUCGGAUUGCACUCUGCAACUCGAGUGCAUGAAGUUGGAAUUGCUAGUAAUCGCAGGAUCAGCAUGCCGCGGGAAUACGUUCCCGGGUCUGUACACACGCCAU
rnacentral:rRNA from 1 species